rnacentral:rRNA from 1 species
ACUCAAAUGAAUAGACGGGGGCCCGCACAAGCAGCGGAGCGUGUGGUUUAAUUCGACGCAACGCGAAGAACCUUACCUGGGCUUGACAUGCGCGUGGUACGAGGCGGAAACGCCGAGGACCCGCAAGGGAGCGCGCACAGAUGCUGCAUGGCUGUCGUCAGCUCGUGCCGUGAGGUGUUGGGUUAAGUCCCGCAACGAGCGCAACCCUCGCUGCCAGUUACCAUGUCUGGCGGGACUGCCGGGUCCAACCCGGAGGAAGGUGGGGAUGAGGUCAAGUCAGCACGGCUCUGACGUCCAGGGCUACACACACGCUACAAUGGCCGGUACAACGCGCGGCGAUGGGGCGACCCGGAGCGAAUCGCACACAAAGCCGGUCUCAGUUGGGAUUGCAGGCUGCAACUCGCCUGCAUGAACGCGGAGUUGCUAGUAACCGCGGGUCAGCACACCGCGGUGAAUACGUUCCCGGGCCUUGUACACACCGCCCGU